CUUUGAAAUUAGUCUUAGGUUGCCAAGUGAUAGAUGAGAAUUUUGAGGAAAAAAAAAAAAAACUUUAAGAAUUUAUAAAACUAAUAAUUUGCAUGAACACAUAUGACUACAUUUUCCAAAAUUUAGUGGACUCUAUUGUGAUAUACUAAAAGUAUACACCCUAUAAAAAUAGUUAUAUUUAGGUAUAUAACAUAGCAAAAAUAUAAUUGAAAGUGGAAAGAUCACACUUGCUAUGGGAUAAGACGUUUUGUUUUCCCUUGGUCCUGAGGUCAAUAACCAGCCUAGAACACAACAGGGCAUCAAGCACUCAUGUCUUAGGAAUUUCCUCCCAGUCACAUGCAUUUUGUGGAGGAUUGACCCAACCCCUUAACACACAGAACACUAAAGAAUACAAGAUAAGCACACAAAUUGGUGACACAAUUUCAAUUAUGUGAAUGCAUUCUAUUUGUGAGGCCAAAAGGAAUAAGCAAGGCAGCCGUUAUGGUGUAAAGUAAUCAGUAGAUAUUUUCCAUAUACAAUAUGACUGGUCUAUGAUCUGCCCUAUCCAAAAUAUGUUCUUAAAGGACUUUCCAAGUUAUGAAAGAACAAUCAUCUGCCCAUUAUCAAAGGUGGAGAGUAUACAUGCUGACCAGUUACUCUGAUUUCUCUGGUUAUGCAAAACACAUGGAUCCCAUUCACUUGUCUGUUUUCAAAUCUCAAUGGAAACAAGUACGAUUUAUUUAAGUUGUAUAAAAAAAAAGUAUAGCAUUUUUAUACAAAUAUCUUUAAAGGCACAAAAGAUUUAUUCACAAGGUAUGGAGGGCUUUUUGUUCCUCUGAUAGACAUGACUGACUUUUAGCUGUCAUAAUGUAUUAACAGAUGAAAUAUGUUUGUGGCUGUUCUUUAUCCCUUUGUACAAGCAUUAAAAAAAAAACAAAAAACUGCUGUUUUAUAAAGAGACUUUUUGUUGUACUAUGUGCAUGCAUACUACCUAUUUCUAAACUUUGCCAUAUUGAGGCCUUUAUAAACUAUUGAUUUAUGUAAUACUAGUGCAAUUUUGCUCGAACGAUGUUAUGCAUAUCAUAAAUUUUUCCAGGUUCUUGUUUAAGUACAUUUUUUAAAUUGAACAGUAUUUUUCAUUUUGGUUAUAAUAGUCAUUUUGCCUAUGUUUCUACAAUGAAGUGUUAAAUACUUUAUAAAAAAUUGUUGACUGACUUAUUUAAAUGAAAUUCUACAUAUUUAAGUGCUUGUGUUGGGUAGUUUUUAAAAAGAAAAUUCUUGUCUUUACAGAGUUUAAUUUUCUUAGGAAGCUAUUUUAGUCAACAUGAGAUGUAAUUUUUGUUGUAUCUUUAGAACAUACUCUCUGGGGUAGCACUGAUUUCAUUGCAUCGUUUUUCAAAUCACAAUAGAGAAGGCAUUUCUCUU
rnacentral:lncRNA from 1 species